GACGAACCGAGCGAACGUUGUUCGGAAUCACUGGGCUUAAAGGGCGCGUAGGCGGGUGCUCAAGUCUGUGGUGAAAUCCUCCGGCUCAACCGGAGAACUGCCAUGGAUACUGGGUGCCUCGAGGGUGAUAGGGGUAUGCGGAACUAUCGGUGGAGCGGUGAAAUGCGUUGAUAUCGAUAGGAACUCCGGAGGCGAAGGCGGCAUACUGGAUCACUUCUGACGCUGAGGCGCGAAAGCCAGGGGAGCGAACGGG
rnacentral:rRNA from 1 species